rnacentral:tRNA from 1 species
GCCGGAAUCGCCUAACCUGGUAUGGCACCAGCCUGGAAAGCUGGCUCCUAACGGAGAUCUGGGUUCAAAUCCCAGUUCCGGCG